rnacentral:rRNA from 1 species
GGAAUCUUCGGCAAUGGGCGAAAGCCUGACCGAGCAACGCCGCGUGAGCGAUGAAGGCCUUCGGGUCGUAAAGCUCUGUUGUUAGAGAAGAACAAGUACGAGAGUAACUGCUCGUACCUUGACGGUACCUAACCAGAAAGCCACGGCUAACUACGUGCCAGCAGCCGCGGUAAUACGUAGGUGGCAAGCGUUGUCCGGAUUUAUUGGGCGUAAAGCGAGCGCAGGCGGUUUUUUAAGUCUGAUGUGAAAGCCUUCGGCUUAACCGGAGAAGUGCAUCGGAAACUGGGAGACUUGAGUGCAGAAGAGGACAGUGGAACUCCAUGUGUAGCGGUGGAAUGCGUAGAUAUAUGGAAGAACACCAGUGGCGAAGGCGGCUGUCUAGUCUGUAACUGACGCUGAGGCUCGAAAGCAUGGGUAGCGAACA